AUGAACGCUAGCUACAGGCUUAACACAUGCAAGUCGAGGGGCAGCAUCAUCAAAGCUUGCUUUGAUGGAUGGCGACCGGCGCACGGGUGAGUAACACGUAUCCAACCUGCCGACAACACUGGGAUAGCCUUUCGAAAGAAAGAUUAAUACCGGAUGGCAUAGUUUUCCCGCAUGGGAUAAUUAUUAAAGAAUUUCGGUUGUCGAUGGGGAUGCGUUCCAUUAGGCAGUUGGCGGGGUAACGGCCCACCAAACCAACGAUGGAUAGGGGUUCUGAGAGGAAGGUCCCCCACAUUGGAACUGAGACACGGUCCAAACUCCUACGGGAGGCAGCAGUGAGGAAUAUUGGUCAAUGGACGAGAGUCUGAACCAGCCAAGUAGCGUGAAGGAUGACUGCCCUAUGGGUUGUAAACUUCUUUUAUACGGGAAUAAAGUGAGCCACGUGUGGCUUUUUGUAUGUACCGUAUGAAUAAGGAUCGGCUAACUCCGUGCCAGCAGCCGCGGUAAUACGGAGGAUCCGAGCGUUAUCCGGAUUUAUUGGGUUUAAAGGGAGCGUAGGCGGGUUGUUAAGUCAGUUGUGAAAGUUUGCGGCUCAACCGUAAAAUUGCAGUUGAUACUGGCGACCUUGAGUGCAACAGAGGUAGGCGGAAUUCGUGGUGUAGCGGUGAAAUGCUUAGAUAUCACGAAGAACUCCGAUUGCGAAGGCAGCUUACUGGAUUGUAACUGACGCUGAUGCUCGAAAGUGUGGGUAUCAAACAGGAUUAGAUACCCUGGUAGUCCACACAGUAAACGAUGAAGACUCGCUGUUGGCGAUAUACAGUCAGCGGCCAAGCGAAAGCAUUAAGUAUUCCACCUGGGGAGUACGCCGGCAACGGUGAAACUCAAAGGAAUUGACGGGGGCCCGCACAAGCGGAGGAACAUGUGGUUUAAUUCGAUGAUACGCGAGGAACCUUACCCGGGCUUAAAUUGCAACUGACGGAACCGGAAACGGUUCUUUCUUCGGACAGUUGUGAAGGUGCUGCAUGGUUGUCGUCAGCUCGUGCCGUGAGGUGUCGGCUUAAGUGCCAUAACGAGCGCAACCCUUACGGGUAGUUACCAUCAGGUUAUGCUGGGGACUCUACCCGGACUGCCGUCGUAAGAUGUGAGGAAGGUGGGGAUGACGUCAAAUCAGCACGGCCCUUACGUCCGGGGCUACACACGUGUUACAAUGGGGGGUACAGAAGGCAGCUACACGGCGACGUGGUGCUAAUCCCAAAAGCCUCUCUCAGUUCGGAUUGGAGUCUGCAACCCGACUCCAUGAAGCUGGAUUCGCUAGUAAUCGCGCAUCAGCCACGGCGCGGUGAAUACGUUCCCGGGCCUUGUACACACCGCCCGUCAAGCCAUGAAAGCCGGGGGUACCUGAAGUACGUAACCGCGAGGAGCGUCCUAGGGUAAAACUGGUGAUUGGGGCU
rnacentral:rRNA from 1 species